rnacentral:rRNA from 1 species
GAUGAACGCUGGCGGCAUGCCUAACACAUGCAAGUCGAUCGGUAAGGCUCUUCGGAGUACACGAGAGGCGGACGGCUGAGUAACGCGUAGGAACACACCCUGCAGUGAGGGAUAAGACACCGAAAGGUGUUCUAAUACCGCAUACGGUCUUCGGAUUAAAGCAUUUAUGCGCUGAAGGAGUGGCCUGCGUCAUAUUAGAUAGUUGGUGAGGUAAUGGCUCACCAAGUCGAUGAUGUGUAGCUGGUCUGAGAGGAUGAUCAGCCAGACUGGAACUGAGACACAGUCCAGACUCCUACGGGAGGCAGCAGUGAGGAAUAUUUCACAAUGAGCGAAAGCUUGAUGGAGCAAUGCCGCGUGCAGGAUGAAGGCCCUCGGGUUGUAAACUGCUUUUAUAAGAGAAGAUUAUGACGGUAACUUAUGAAUAAGGGACGGCUAACUACGUG